rnacentral:rRNA from 1 species
AGAGGUAUCGUAAUUGAAGAGGUUUGGAAAGACCCACCACAGAAGGUAAUAGUCCUGUAUGUUAAACGAGAAGACUUUAGAUAUGAUCCAGAGUACCACGGGACACGUGAAACCCUGUGGGAAGCAGGAGGGACCACCCUCCAAGGCUAAAUACUACCUAGUGACCGAUAGCGUAUAGUACCGUGAGGGAAAGGUGAAAAGAACCCCGGGAGGGGA